rnacentral:misc_RNA from 1 species
AAAAAAAAAAGAGCACUGCUUCAAUCUCAUUCUAGUUGGGGUCAGAUUUAUGGAUAAUGUUUCUCCAUUUUGAUUAGUUUACAGCCUCAAUAACAAUGCCAUAUUCAGAUUAAAUAUACAGUACAGAACACAUCAUCCAAAUUCCAAAAGAAUCAUCAAUUGUACAGCACCCAACAUGUAAAACGCAAACUAUCAUUAUCAAUGUCUACAAAACAUCACUCACAAUACUUCAAACUGUCAAGCAUAUUUUGCUCAUAUUUUAAAAGCCAUUAAAUAUUUUUAAAAACAGAAAAUCAUACUAAUCAAGGUUGCUCGAUACACCGUACACCAUGAGUUCAGGUCAUGGGUUGAAAUCCAAGCCCGUUUUCCAAAAACAAAGGAGGCGGCAGAAAAAAAAAUCUGGCUCAGAAAAAUAUUUUCUACAGUUUUCAGGAAACAUUUUGUAAUUUUUGUGGCUUGAAUUUUUGAUAUAUUUUUUUAUAGAGCUGAAUUGUGAUCCAGAGCCAAAGUUUUAGCGCUGCGACUCCGUUGGGAUAAAAAGUGAGAGAUCUGUGACGGUGUCAGUGGAGACUGAUCUCAACGCCCCAUCAGUAUAAAUAUUAUAAUGUUUUACUCUUUGUGCUGUCUUUAUGGUAGAAUUGUAAGAUAUUCAGAAAAUACUGAAAUUAGAAUUAGAAUUUUAGAGUUCUAAUUGAUUGUAUCUUGUUCUUUUCUAUCCAUUGUAGUGAUAUUUUUUUUUUCUUGUCUUGACAGUGAUCGAUCUUGUUAUAACACAUUUUUUGAAAAUUAGUAUUGAAGUCCUUCCUGUUUCGAACUUUUGAUAACAUGAAGUAGUUGUUUUCCGGUUACAAGUGAUUUCAAGACGUGCGUAAUAACUCU